GGCGUCAGGAUGAACGCUGGCGGCGUGCUUAACACAUGCAAGUCGAACGGAGUUUACAUGAAACCUAGUGAUGUAAACUUAGUGGCAGACGGGUGAGUAACGCGUGGGUAACCUGCCAUAUACAGGGGGAUAACACUUAGAAAUAGGUGCUAAAACCGCAUAAGCGCACAGUGAGGCAUCUCACAGUGUGAAAAACUCCGGUGGUAUAUGAUGGACCCGCGUCUGAUUAGCCAGUUGGUGAGGUAACGGCUCACCAAAGCAACGAUCAGUAGCCGGCCUGAGAGGGUGAACGGCCACAUUGGGACUGAGACACGGCCCAAACUCCUACGGGAGGCAGCAGUGGGGAAUAUUGGACAAUGGGGGAAACCCUGAAUCCAGCGACGCCGCGUGAGUGAAGAAGUAUUUCGGUAUGUAAAGCUCUAUCAGCAGGGAAGAAAAAAGACGGUACCUGACUAAGAAGCCCCGGCUAACUACGUGCCAGCAGCCGC
rnacentral:rRNA from 1 species